rnacentral:rRNA from 1 species
GGACGAACGCUGGCGGCGUGCUUAACACAUGCAAGUCGAGCGAUGAAGCACCUUCGGGUGUGAAUUAGCGGCGAACGGGUGAGGAACACGUGAAGAAUCUGCCUUCAACUCUGGGAUAACUCCGGGAAACCGGGGCUAAUACCGGAUAUGAGCCUUGAUCGCAUGAUCGGGGCUGGAAAGUUUUUCGGUUGAAGAUGACUUCGCGGCCUAUCAGCUUGUUGGUGAGGUAAUGGCUCACCAAGGCGACGACGGGUAGCCGGCCUGAGAGGGCGACCGGCCACACUGGGACUGAGACACGGCCCAGACUCCUACGGGAGGCAGCAGUGGGGAAUAUUGGGCAAUGGAGGAAACUCUGACCCAGCGACGCCGCGUGAGGGAUGAAGGCCUUCGGGUUGUAAACCUCUUUCAGUAGGGAAGAAGCGAAAGUGACGGUACCUACAGAAGAAGCACCGGCUAACUAUGUGCCAGCAGCCGCGGUAAUACAUAGGGUGCAAGCGUUGUCCGGAAUUAUUGGGCGUAAAGAGCUCGUAGGUGGUUCGAUACGUCGGAUGUGAAAAUCAGGGGCUCAACCCCUGACCUGCAUCCGAUACGGUCGAGCUAGAGUUUGGUAGGGGAGACUGGAAUUCCUGGGUGUAGCGGUGGAAUGCGCAGAUAUCAGGAGGAACACCGAUGGCGAAGGCAGGUCUCUGGGCCAAUACUGACACUGAGGAGCGAAAGCGUGGGGAGCGAACAGGAUUAGAUACCCUGGUAGUCCACGCCGUAAACGGUGGGCGCUAGUUGUGCGAACCUUCCACGGUUUGUGCGACGCAGCUAACGCAUUCAGCGCCCCGCCUGGGGAGUACG